rnacentral:rRNA from 1 species
AGCGAACGCUGGCGGCAUGCCUAACACAUGCAAGUCGCACGGGGGGGCUUUGGCCUCCCAGUGGCGGACGGGUGAGGAACGCGUAGGGACCUGUCGAGGGGUGGGGGAUAACCGCGGGAAACUGCGGCUAAUACCGCCUGACGCCGCGACCUGACAGCCGGGGCCAAAGGCGAAAGCCGCGCUCCGAGGGGCCUGCGUCCGAUUAGCUGGUUGGCGGGGUAGCGGCCCACCAAGGCGUCGAUCGGUACAUGGGCCGAGAGGGUGAUCAGCCACACCGGGACUGGGACGCAGCCCGGACUCCUACAGGAGGCAGGAGAGGGUGAUACUGCACAACGGGGGGAAGGCAGAUGGAGCUAGGCUGGGAGAGUGAAGAAGGUGUGAGGAUAGUGAAGCCGGUUCAGCGGGGACGAUGGUGACGGUACCCGAAGAAGAAGCCCCGGCUAACUUCGUG